rnacentral:lncRNA from 1 species
GUUGUUACUGAUGACAAAAUAGAGGUCAAGUUCAAUAAUGACGAUUUUGACUUUUACCGUUCAGGAGUUAUGGUUCUUGAAAGAUCAUAAAAUGGCGUUUCCAUUCAGGUUGUUGCAUUUACUCAUGAACUAUUCAAUCUAAGCUUUUCAAAUUUUAAUAUGUUGAUACUGAUGACAAAAUGGAGGUCAAAUUUGAUAUUGACGAUUUUCACUUUCACCAUUCAUCAGUAAUGGUUCUUG